rnacentral:rRNA from 1 species
UACGAAGGGGGCUAGCGUUGCUCGGAAUCACUGGGCGUAAAGGGCGCGUAGGCGGCGUUUUAAGUCGGGGUGAAAGCCUGUGGCUCAACCACAGAAUGGCCUUCGAUACUGGGACGCUUGAGUAUGGUAGAGGUUGGUGGAACUGCGAGUGUAGAGGUGAAAUUCGUAGAUAUUCGCAAGAACACCGGUGGCGAAGGCGGCCAACUGGACCAUUACUGACGCUGAGCGCGAAAGCGUGGGGAGCAAACAGG